GACGAACGCUGGCGGCGUGCUUAACACAUGCAAGUCGAACGGAAAGGCCUCUUUCGGGGGGUACUCGAGUGGCGAACGGGUGAGUAACACGUGAGUAACCUGCCCUUGACUUUGGGAUAACUUCAGGAAACUGGGGCUAAUACCGGAUAGGAGCUCCUGCUGCAUGGUGGGGGUUGGAAAGUUUCGGCGGUUGGGGAUGGAUUCGCGGCUUAUCAGCUUGUUGGUGGGGUAGUGGCUUACCAAGGCUUUGACGGGUAGCCGGCCUGAGAGGGUGACCGGCCACAUUGGGACUGAGAUACGGCCCAGACUCCUACGGGAGGCAGCAGUGGGGAAUAUUGCACAAUGGGCGGAAGCCUGAUGCAGCAACGCCGCGUGCGGGAUGACGGCCUUCGGGUUGUAAACCGCUUUCGCCUGUGACGAAGCGUGAGUGACGGUAAUGGGUAAAGAAGCACCGGCUAACUACGUG
rnacentral:rRNA from 1 species